GCCACUGGAAGUAGAACUCGAAUUUAUCUUUAUUCCAUGAAAUGGCUUUUUGAAUCCCUUUCAAUAUGCAGGGUUACUUUUUCAACCUAGAUACUGCAGAGAGGGCCUUGGUUCUGCAAAAAAAAAUGUGAAAGUCUUUGAUGAUGCCCCACUGGAGGCCUCACCUUCUCUGAAGACUGGUGCUCCUGUGCCAACGAUACUGUCUCCUUAGUUUUGUGCUCAACAACCCAGAUCAGGGUACAAAUGGAAACUGCAAUAUUUCUUGUGAAUGGAUUGCUGGCAGUGUCCUCCAAUCCUUCAUAUGCUCACUAUGAUUGGGAUCUGCGAACUCUAUCUAGAGUGGAUUCCAGUGCUUGUAAUGUAUUGUCUCCAGAGUCCUGGAAGUAGACUGGAAAGUAACAUCUUCAUAGGAAGGGAGAUGUUGAAAGAUACACUAUGCCAAUGUGGACAGUUUUAAAGGUCCCUGUGUGAACUUCAAAGGCCCAAAAGAAUCAGGGACAGGAAAAGUGUUCCACAAUACAGCAUGUAUAUGUGGGACAAUCUAGAACUCAUAUAAGACAUGUAGAAAUUGG
rnacentral:lncRNA from 1 species